rnacentral:rRNA from 1 species
CUUUUAUGGAGAGUUUGAUCCUGGCUCAGGACGAACGCUGGCGGCGUGCCUAAUACAUGCAAGUCGAGCGAACAGAGAAGGAGCUUGCUCCUUUGACGUUAGCGGCGGACGGGUGAGUAACACGUGGGCAACCUACCCUAUAGUUUGGGAUAACUCCGGGAAACCGGGGCUAAUACCGAAUAAUCUGUUUCACUUCAUGGUGAAACACUGAAAGACGGUUUCGGCUGUCGCUAUAGGAUGGGCCCGCGGCGCAUUAGCUAGUUGGUGAGGUAACGGCUCACCAAGGCAACGAUGCGUAGCCGACCUGAGAGGGUGAUCGGCCACACUGGGACUGAGACACGGCCCAGACUCCUACGGGAGGCAGCAGUAGGGAAUCUUCCACA